AAAAGGGUGAAAGGAAAGUGAGAAAAGAGAGAGAGAGGGGAGAGAGGGUGUGAGAGAGAGAAAAAGGGUGAAAGGGAAGUGAGAAAGAGAGAGAGAGAGGGGGAGAGGGUGUGUGAGAGAGAAAAAGGGUGAAAGGAAAGUGAGAAAGAGAGAGAGAGAGGGGGGAGAGGGUGUGUGAGAGAGAAAAAGGGUGAAAGGAAAGUGAGAAAGAGAGAGAGAGAGGGGGAGAGGGUGUGAGAGAGAAAAAGGGUGAAAGGAAAGUGAGAAAGAGAGAGAGAGAGGGGGAGAGGGUGUGAGAGAGAGAGAAAAAGGGUGAAAGGGAAGUGAGAAAGAGAGAGAGAGAGGGGGAGAGGGUGUGUGAGAGAGAAAAAGGGUGAAAG
ensembl:lncRNA